AGCUUGCUAAUAUUGUCAGCUAAGUGGCGCACGGGUGAGUAAUAUAUAGUUAAUCUGCCUUAGAGAUGGGAAUAAUUGUUGGAAACGACUUGUAAGACCCGAUAUGCCUUUAGUACAUAAGUACGCAAGGGAAACAUUUAUGGCUCUAAGAUGAGACUGUACAGUAUCAGAUAGUUGGUAGGGUAAUGGCCUACCAAGUCUAUGACGCUUAACUGGUUUGAGAGGAUGAUCAGUCACACUGGAACUGAGACACGGUCCAGACUCCUACGGGAGGCAGCAGUGGGGAAUAUUGCACAAUGGACGAAAGUCUGAUGCAGCAACGCCGCGUGGAGGAUGACACAUUUCGGUGCGUAAACUCCUUUUAUAUGAGAAGAUAAUGACGGUAUCAUAUGAAUAAGCACCGGCUAACUUCGUGCCAGCAGCCGCGGUAAUACGAGGGGUGCAAGCGUUACUCGGAAUCACUGGCCGUCGUUUUA
rnacentral:rRNA from 1 species